GACGAACGCUGGCGGCGUGCUUAACACAUGCAAGUCGAACGCUGAAGCUCAGCUUUUGUUGGGUGGAUGAGUGGCGAACGGGUGAGUAACACGUGAGUAACCUGCCUCCUUCUUUGGGAUAACGCCCGGAAACGGGUGCUAAUACUGGAUAUUCACUGGUCUUCGCAUGGGGGUUGGUGGAAAGGGUUUUUCUGGUGGGGGAUGGGCUCGCGGCCUAUCAGCUUGUUGGUGGGGUGAUGGCCUACCAAGGCUUUGACGGGUAGCCGGCCUGAGAGGGUGACCGGGCACAUUGGGACUGAGAUACGGCCCAGACUCCUACGGGAGGCAGCAGUGGGGAAUAAUGCACAAUGGGCGCAAGCCUGAUGCAGCGACGCCGCGUGAGGGAUGGAGGCCUUCGGGUUGUGAACCUCUUUCGCUCAUGGUCAAGCCGCAACAAUGGUUGUGGUGAGGGUAGUGGGUAAAGAAGCGCCGGCUAACUACGUG
rnacentral:rRNA from 1 species